rnacentral:rRNA from 1 species
UAGCGUAUAUUAAAGUUGUUGCAGUUAAAAAGCUCGUAGUUGAACUUCGGAACCGGUCGAUUGGUCCGUCCUCUGGAUUGUGUACUGAUCGAUCUGUUCUUCUUCGCGAAGACCGCGUGUGCCCUUAACUGGGUGUGCACGGGAUUCACGACGUUUACUUUGAAAAAAUUAGAGUGUUCAAAGCAGGCAUUCGCUUGAAUAUCUCAGCAUGGAAUAAUAGAAUAGGACUUUGGUCUUAUUUUGUUGGUUUCCGAGACCGAAGUAAUGAUUAAUAGGGACAGUUGGGGGCAUUCGUAUUUCAUUGUCAGAGGUGAAAUUCUUGGAUUUAUGAAAGACGAACUUCUGCGAAAGCAUUUGCCAAGGAUGUUUUCAUUAAUCGAGAACGACAGUUGGAGGCUCGAAGACGAUCAGAUACCGUCCUAGUUCCAACCAUAAACGAUGCCGUCUGCGGAUCAGCGGUCGCUCAUUUAAGGCUCCGUUGGCACGCUAUGAGAAAUCAAAGACUUCGGGUUCCGGGGGGAGUAUGUUCGCAAGAAUGAAACUUAAAGGAAUUGACGGAAGGGCACCACCAGGAGUGGAACCUGCGGCUUAAUU